rnacentral:misc_RNA from 1 species
GUAGGUGAACCUGCGGAAGGAUCAUUAACACUUUAACAACAGAUGCCUGAUUCUGAAGUCUCCUUACAUCAAUGUGAACUGAGAACAAACCGUUGUCUUGUGUGGCGAGUCUUAGUAAUGAAAGCUGUGUGAUUGGCGCGCUAGUAGUAGCCAGCUGAAUAAGUUGGUCGCGAAAGCAAACCCCCUUCUGAGUGAAAAGACGAGCUGUGCUGGAUGACAAACCCCUUAAACACCAACCCCAUAACUAAUU